GAAAGGUCAGGUUACUAAUUACCAAAGAUUUUGUUAAUCAUUACAAAAGAUUUAAAAACAACCCUUACGGACCGUAAAGGUCCUGCCUUACGGACCGUAAGGGGGCGAAUGAUUAAGCUUGUCUCCGCCACAGGCUUACGGACCGCAAGGCCCAAACCAUACGGUCCGUAAGCGAUGCCCAGCGACAGAAAAUUGGCUGUUGGCUGUUUAAAGCGGUAGAACAUUAAUGUAUGGGUUUCCCAGAGGUAUGGGCGCCCUCUACUUGACCCACAGCACCUUAGGACACCUGCCAAUCAUCCAUGCUCACUUGUAGGUUGAGUUGUAAUGAUCUAGAGGCCAUUCUUGCACUAUAAAAGGCCAUUCAUAGUUCACAAUUGAAACACACCUCAAAACCUAUUCUCUUGAUCAUCUCUGGAGCUUCCAAGCUUUCUUCUAUCAUUCUAAGUCGUGCACAAGCUUCUGUAAGUUGUCAAACCCUUUUGUGGUUUAGUUUUGCUUAGUUAUUACUUAAAAGUCAAUCCGUCGUAAUUAACGAUUGACUUUGCGAUAAAUCACGAAUGGUCCAGUGAUUUGUCGAAUCAAAGAUAGUUAUGUGUUGGUAUUCAUGUGGGUGACAAACCCUCAAAAGGGUUCCCCCUGAUCACCACUCUAACUAGAUCAAAUGUCGAGUCAAACGUAUACUUAAAAAGUCAACAGAAAGUCAUUUUGCGAUUUCUUGCAUAAUCUGUAAUGUAGGUGAUAUGUAACCUGUUUGAACACUCAUAAAACAUGAUAAUAAGUAUACUAACUUGUCUAAACUCGUUUGAUUCGGCCAUUUGCUAUAUUGACCCGGUUCGGAGCCGAAAGUCGCAAAAGUUUGACUUUUGCUUUGACUUCAGUUCUGACCCGUUUUAGUGCAAUGUAGAUAUGCCUUAGGACUCUCUUAGGACCAGGUCACGUGAUGGUAUCACCCUCUGUGACCGGUUCGUUGUUUGUCCGAGUCUUUUACGCAUUUCCGUUAAUUGCUUAAAAGUUGACCGUAACGCCCUUUUCGAAAUAAAACGAGUAUUUCGGACAUGUGAAGGGACCAUAACCUGGCUUACUAAAUUCUAAGCAUGUCCCUAAAGUUUCACGCCAAUCCGAGGUCUAGAAUAGGAGUUAUGCUAAAUAGCGCAAAUUAAGGAAACUUUUGUAAUAAACGGCGCGAUUAGCAUAACGCCUACCUAAACCAAGAUUUUGACACCAAACCUUUUACUCACUGUUGUAAAAUAAUAUUUUUGGAUUUUUAAAGAUUUUAAUUAAUUUUAACCUGCUCAUAACCUGCGGUUAUGGCUACGGUUCGGUAAAUACCGAAUAUACCCUUUUCGGCCAAAACUUGAGUUCUAUAAGGUCUUUUGACCCGAUCCCAGUUGCUACUGAUUUUAAAUAAUAAAUAAAGUAUUUUGGACUUUAUAAACUGUUUGGGAAACUCAGAUUUCCUGUAGAACUCAGAAAGCUCUUUUAAAAGUCUUUAAAAUGUCCGAAAAACCCCUACGGGGCGUAUAAUGAACUUAAACUCGUCACGGGCAUUAUGGAAGGAAAAUAGUGUAGGACUCUUAUGGUUAACCGUUGCGCCUUUUGCGCGUACGGUUCGGCUUAUGUAACCAGUUUACAUAAAUUAGCCGAUACGGGUCAAACCAUAUUAUUUUGACCCCAAAAUCCAGAGUGUGAAUAUUAAACCCAUAUAAAACAAGUCUUCAAACUUGUUGGGUCAGAAUCACAUUCCAUUCCCGGUUUUCGCCCUUCACGUGAUUAAACCGCAUACAUCCUUUGAAACUGACCGGUCUAGGCUACGGCUAAUAUAAAGACCCGUUAGGAUUCUAAUAGGUUAUUUGAAACCUUCGUUCCAGAAUAGGAGACCAGUAAAAGCUAUUCGUGAUUUACUCAAUUAAGGACUAUACUUGCAAAGGUAAAUACUUUUAACUUAUUUUCCGUUAUACGGGCUUGGGUUACGGUAUAUAGCAUACCGCUUGAUCGAGCAAUUGCCCCCAACUCUUUUGUAGUUGGGAACGUCAAUGUGACUCGUUUAAACAGUCUUGUUACUUAAGAGCCUUUGGGGGGUUAAUGACCAUGUCCCGGAUAUCCUUGGCAGCAUUUUAUGAAAUGGCCACGACCCUGACAUCCGAGUGUAGGCGUACACUCGGCAUUAUGUCCAUAAUAUAAAGGUGUAGCCGUUGGUUACCCGCCACGGUUUUAUGCCACGUGGUGUGUCUAUUGAUCUUUAACCCGGUUUUGACCCGGGCUACUGAACGCAUAAGGAACAUGUAAAUCGUUCACAAGAUUAUAUAUAUUUAAAUAAUUCUCCCAAGUUAUAAAAGAGUUUGUGCCUUGUGCAUUCAAAUCAAUUUUAAUAAACAUUUUACAAAAGUGUCAGUUGAAUGUAUUUACCAGUGUAAACUGACGUAUUUUCCCCAAAAAGACUAAAUGCAGGUACUAAACGUAAUCGGCUGGCUAUAGCUCCUUAGCAUUCUAGAAGUCUCGCAAGCUUUUGGUGCAUUGUCUGUUGAACAAUAUUUUUAUGUAUUAUUUUGAUCCAAUGUGGAUUUUAUUUCAACGAACAGUGAUACUUUGAUAUUACGGUAAAGGUUGAAAUAUAAUUAUCUUUAUGCUUUCGCUGUGCAUUUAUAUAUUGUGGUUUGACUAUAUUGUUGCCAACUACGUCACGGUAAUCCCCCACCGGGCCCACCGGUGAUACACGUGGAAAUCGGGGUGUGACACAAAUCUAAGCUGUUGUCACAGAAUAUGCACCAACAAACUCCCCCUUGACAAUAGCUUCAUAAAAACUUUGUCUUCAGUCUUCUUGCAAUCGUCAUGUAGUCUUGCACUGUCUUUGGUCUUUGGAUAGCUUCAGCUUCAAUAGCUUCUGUCAGCAACAGACUCCCCCUAAGCUGAUGCAUCCAAUCACCAAAUCUUCAACACGUUAGCACUUGAGUAAACUCCAGUUUAGCAUUUGCACAACAAUCUUCAAACUCUUCAAUCUUGUCUGUAAUGUAGAAAGGAGGUUCUACCAUGCAACCAAUCAAACUCUCAUCUUCACACUUCACAGCAACUUCUCAGCAACAAACUGCUUCAAUCUGUAUACUAUAAAACAAACAUCUCGAGAAACCAUAAGAAUUUUUCAACAAAGUUAAAUAAAUUAUUAUUUUUCAAGAGAUAGUUAAACUGUAUUACAGAUUAAGCAUUUUCAAUUUCAUCACCAACACGCAAAACUUUUGUCCAACACAGAAGAACUUGCCUGAUUGAAAAUUUUGAACUCACUUUCUAACACCGUCUCCCCCUAUCAGUAACAAUUCCUCCAAGAAUAACAGUUUUCCGUACAUUAAGAAUUUUAAAC
rnacentral:lncRNA from 1 species